CUGAUUGACGAUGGAUCACCAGUGAGUGGCGGACGGGUGAGUAACACGUAGGUAACCUGCCCCGGAGCGGGGGAUAACAUUUGGAAACAGAUGCUAAUACCGCAUAACAACAAAAGCCGCAUGGCUUUUGUUUGAAAGAUGGCUUUAGCUAUCACUCUGGGAUGGACCUGCGGUGCAUUAGCUAGUUGGUAAGGUAACGGCUUACCAAGGCGAUGAUGCAUAGCCGAGUUGAGAGACUGAUCGGCCACAAUGGAACUGAGACACG
rnacentral:rRNA from 1 species